rnacentral:rRNA from 1 species
CCUACGGGCGGCAGCAGUGGGGAAUAUUGCACAAUGGGGGAAACCCUGAUGCAGCGACGCCGCGUGAGUGAAGAAGUAUUUCGGUAUGUAAAGCUCUAUCAGCAGGAACGAGACAAGACGGUACCUGACUAAGAAGCCCCGGCUAACUACGCGCCAGCAGCCGCGGCAAUACGGAGGCGGCAAGCGUCAAUCGUAAUCACUGGGUGGAAAGGGAGCGUAGGCGGCUGUGCAAGCCUGAAGUGAAAGGCGGGGGCCCAACCCCCGGACUGCUUUGGAAACUGUACGGCUGGAGUGCGGGAGAGGGAAGUGGAAUUCCUGGUGUAGCGGUGAAAUGCGUAGAUAUUAGGAGGAACACCAGUGGCGAAGGCGGCUUACUGGACUGUAACUGACGUUGAGGAUCGAAAGCGUGGGGAGCAAACAGGAUUAGAUACCCUAGUAGUC